UCAUCUCCAGCGCACGGACAUUGCAGGCAGCAGCAUUGCUGGUGGCUGGCCCAAUCCCCUCUCUCUCCCACGCCUCGCCCUCCCAAAUUCCCCAUCGCUUCCUCCUCCCAAAUUCCCCGCUGCUUCCUCGCAGAUCUAAUUGGCGCUGCUGCCUCCCCACGGAGCUCCAUCUCGCGAAGCUACUUGGCGCCGCCACCGCGGUGUUCCGCCCCGUCGAGCUCGCGGGGCUGGCCGGCGCCCUUGCCACCUUGCCGUCCAGCUCGCAGAGCUGCUCGGCGCUGCAGCGGCGUUCCAUCCCGUCGGCCUCGCGGAACCAGCCGGCGCCAUCGCCACCUUUCUGUCUGGCUGCUCAGCGGCGCCGCCCCCGCGGUAUUGCACCCCGUCGAGCUCGCGCAGCUGGCCGGCGCCAUUGCCACCUUGCCGUCCAGCUCGCAGAACUGCUCGGCGCUGCAGCGGCGUUCCAUCCCGUCGAGCUCGCGGAACCAGCCGGCGCCAUCGCCACCUUGCUGUCCGGUUGCUCAGCUUUCCUCUCCUCUUCAGUGCUGCUUGGAGAUUAGGAUCACAGAUGUUUGAGCAAGCAGUAAAUCGACAGAAGGUGCUCACUUUCUGGACUUAAUUUGUUUUUGUCAUAGAUCACGAACACACUGAGAGAUAUAAAUACGAGGGUUCGUAUGUAAGUUGUAUCUUACCAACUAUUUACCAGUUUGUCAAGUGGGUGCUAAUCUCUGGUUAAAAGAAAAUAAUAUGAUUUCACUUUGUCAGUUUUCACGCACUAUGUCUUACUGUGUGCCAUGAUUUUCCACUCCUUUUUACCUGAACUGCUCCUUUGGUGUGGUCAUUUUAUACUUAUUUUAGGCACUAAACGUCGGUGUACCUGUUACUAAACAUUUAUUCUGCUCCUUUGGUGUGGUCAUUUUAUACUUAUUUUAGGCACUACACGUCGGUGUACCUGUUGCUAAACAUUUAUUCAAUUUUACUGUUCUUUGGUUCCUUUGCCAAAGCGCGUUGAACUUGAACACUGUCUAAUUAAUCGAUUUACCAGCCGACUGUUGCAUAUAUAUAUUCCCUUUGCUUUAUUGAUGUUGCACCCUGAUUUUUACAGUCCAAAAAGGUAUAUUGAAUUGAAUGAUUGUUGUUUUAGGGAGUGGGUGUCUAUAUUCCUAGCCCAGUCCUUUCACAUGGGCAACUCUAUGUUGCGUUCUCACGUGUGACUUCACCUGAUGGUCUACGGGUUUUGAUUGAGAAUAACCCGCCUGAGUAUAUAGACAGCACCCAUAAUGUUGUUUAUAGAGAAAUUUUUGAUGAUUUAGGCCAGCAGGCAGCACAUGAAUGAUCCACCACAACUCCAACAGUAUAAUCAUCUUUGUUGGUUACAAUCCUUUCCCUAAAGUAUGGCCUUCCACUUUAUAGUUUAUUACUGGUGCUAAAUUUAAGUUCAUUGUAUUCUUUUUACCCCUCAUGUGCUUACUACAAUAUUGACUUUACUUCAGUACUUUGCAUGCAUGUUAAUGUCGUGUUUCCUCGCAUCUUUACAUUAUUCUAGAUGAUGCAGAAACAUAUAGCUUUUAAGUGGACGCAUUUUAGUGAAAUAAUCUAUAUAGCCUUCCCCUCUUGUGAUAUUUUACCUUUUUAUUCACCAGGUGGCCAAAAUUGGUUACGAUGCAUUCUCUUACAUAUCACCUUCAUUCUACAUUUUUAUUAGUAAUGCUAAAUUGAACCCCAUUCUGUUUCUUUGUCUCUCAUGUACUUACUAAAAUAAAUUUACUUUUCUUCACGACUUUGCAGGGCUGUUAAUCUGGUGCUUCCUUAUAUCUUUUUGCAGUGUUCUAGAUCUUGUAGGAGCAUGCAGCUUGUAAGUGCAAACAUUUUGCAUUAUAUCAUACUGUUAAGGUAAAGAUAUAACUAUUUAUCCCUCAUUUCUUCUGCUAUGCUGAUACAUACUCCAUGUAGAUCUUAUUUCUCUAAUUUAUUUUACUCGUCUGCCUGAUCAGCGCUGAACACUAGAUUCAAUAUGUUCUAUAUUAAUACAUGCUCGUGAAAAGAGACACUUAUUGCACAUGAUCACCAAAAUGCACAUAUGGAUGUUUCUUUGAAUAGUUUUUCAUAUGUUUCUUCGUUGCGGUUCCUGUCUGCUCACUAUGGACCAUAUGGAUACUAUAGUUCAUUUUCCAUCUACAUGUUCUCUUCUAAUCUUCCUGAAAAUACUAUGGUGAUCAACUCUGCUUUAGUAGUUCAGACAUUGUACUGGUCAAACUCUUCCUCUCUAACAAUAGGAACACGAAGUGUCUGUAUAGCAUAAACCAUAAAAUUUCUUUUGAAAUAUAUUGUACUGUUCUGACAAAUUCUAUCCAUGAUCAGUUUUGACCUUUUCACGCAAAUAUACAUGCAUCCUUGCAAUAUGAAUAGCCAUUUUAUCUAGAUCUACACGUUAGUUAUAGUUUUUUCAAUUAAUGUUUAUUGUAGUGAUCAGCAUCUCAAGGCACACGCAUUUUUCAUCUAGACACUCUAUACGUUGAAGAUUACUUGCUCAAUCUGCUGGUAUAAUUUAUAUUCUUCUUAUUGUCAGCCCUGUUAUUUUCCUCAUGUAUGACAUUUCUUCCCAUUUAUUCUGCACAAUCAUCAUUACUGGCUCAACCUAUUGCCAUCUGUUCAAACCACGUUUACAGACUAAUUCUUAUCUUGUCCCAGUUCAUUUAUUCACCGGAAAUUGUUGCUUCAAUUCUAAAUCAGGAUUCCCCCACCCAGAUCAUAUAGCAGCUCCUCAAUCACGUUCAAUUAUUUUUUAUCCAUGUUAUGUGAUCUUAACACUCAACUUUCCUCUAAUACCUUCUGGUAGCCACGGUUGCUUCAUAGCUUUUAUUUAUGUUCGGUUUUAUAUUUGUGUACCAACUGGUAAACAAGUUCAAUGUAAAAAUAAUUUUACUGCAUUUUACAAGUUACCUAUAGAAAUGUGGUAUUUGGAGAUUCUUGCAUUCGUGAAGUAGUACAAAAAGUUCUGCAUCUAAUUUAGAUUCUCUCAAGACUAAUGCUUUUAAUACUAUCUCAUAUUUGAUCAUGCACAUCUCCUAUUAAUUUAAUCUUGCUACAGGUUCAUGGCAUGCUAUUCAUUAGGUUUUCCAUCCACAUGCUUCAUAACACACUUACGUACCUUACAGUCUCACUUGCCAUCUCAUCAACUGUCACAUAAUAUUAUUUUCUCUUAUUCAAUAUGAUCAACCACUUCAACAACUGUUCAUACAUGGAUGUUUCCCAUAUAUACAUAUUUUCCUUAAAAGUUAUCUGCUAUCCAUCAUGCUUAAGCCUGUUGGUAAUCGUACUAAUGCAAGUUGCUAUAAUGAAUAAGCAGGAGAAGGCAAAAAGCUAUCUAAAGUGAUCAUCAUGUAUUUCAUGUUUCCAUCAGCCAGGUGCCCAGGUGUUUUGCCAGAGGACAUAUCAGGACACAUGUGUGCUCUGUUAUAUAACUUUUGACUUAAAGGAGUUGUGCUACAAGAUAAAUCGUUUGUCUCAUCUGUAUGCCUUCGAUGCCUAUUAUGUGUGCGAUGUACGAUAGGACAGUACGAGAAGACGCAUAACGCGAAUACGUGAAUGUUUUGUUCCAGACCGCAACACAAGGGAAGAGCUUUUCAUCAAAAAAACAUAAUGGAAGAGCGUAUCCAGGAUGGCGAACAUACAUUGACACAAUUCUUACACAUUUGCAUGCCCAAAUUCAGAGUCGUAGCUUAGAGAACUGUACAUCGUGGUUAAUGGACAUGCCCCGUACCAUUUACAUGUUCUGUACACCGGGAAAACUUGCCAAAAUUUCCAAAGGCACCUUCAGCAGUUCGCCAGAAACAAAAAAGAAGCAUCACGACCAGAUCGAAGCUUCUCAUACACCAUUCCAGCUCAUUAUUUGAGGAUCCGCAACACGGGCAGCAUACUGGCAAGCAAAACAUAAACAACAAUUGGUACCCAAAAAAUUCUGCAAUGUGCAAAUCAUUCAACUUCUGCAUUAUGUGAGCUAGUAAAAGUUUUGGAAUUCCAGGUAGUACUUGAGAGUAUUGGAUGCGCCAAACUGGUGAAAUAUGGAAGAUGUUAUACUUUGAUUGUACCGAACUAUUUAUAUUCAUUAAUAAGUUGCUUCCCUUUGAGAUGUGUAUAUGUAUUCAAAAUCAAAAUAUAAAGGGUUUUUUUUUAGAUA